GAUGAAGAACGUAGCGAAAUGCGAUAAGUAAUGUGAAUUGCAGAAUUCAGUGAAUCAUCGAAUCUUUGAACGCACCUUGCGCUCCUUGGUAUUCCAAGGAGCAUGCCUGUUUGAGUAUCAUUAAAUUAUCAACUGUGCCAAUUUGGUUACAGAUUGGUUGUGGGAGAUUCUUUUUGCAGGCCUUUGACUUCUCUUUGAGAAAAAAAAUAAAAGGUCGGCUCUCCUGAAAUGUAUUAGCAGUGCCUUUGUUGGUUCAUUAGGUGUGAUAAAUUGUCUACAUCUUCGCAUGAUACCUUCAUUUGUAAAGGUCAUAUUGCUUCUAAAUUGUCUUUGAUUGGACGCAAAACAUAUAUAAUGUUUGACAAACUUGAUCUCAAAUCAGGCAGGACUACCCGCUGAACUUAAGCAUAUCAAUAAGCGGAGGA
rnacentral:misc_RNA from 1 species